rnacentral:rRNA from 1 species
CCUACGGGAGGCAGCAGUGGGGAAUAUUGGACAAUGGGGGCAACCCUGAUCCAGCAAUUCUGUGUGCACGAAGAAGGUUUUCGGAUUGUAAAGUGCUUUCAGCAGGGAAGAAGGAAGUGACGGUACCUGCAGAAGAAGCGACGGCUAAAUACGUGCCAGCAGCCGCGGUAAUACGUAUGUCGCAAGCGUUAUCCGGAAUUAUUGGGCAUAAAGGGCAUCUAGGCGGCCAGACAAGUCUGGGGUGAAAACUUGCGGCUCAACCGCAAGCCUGCCCUGGAAACUGCCUGGCUAGAGUGCUGGAGAGGUGGACGGAACUGCACGAGUAGAGGUGAAAUUCGUAGAUAUGUGCAGGAAUGCCGAUGAUGAAGAUAGUUCACUGGACGGCAACUGACGCUGAAGUGCGAAAGCUGGGGGAGCGAACAGGAUUAGAUACCCGUGUAGUC